AUAAUACUUUAGGGUUCUAAGAGGUAAUAUUACUUUUCCAUCUAAUCUUUCUUACCUAGAAAACUUUUACUCUUAUUGCAGAGACUAUUGUUUCCUUUCGGUAAACACCACUUUCAUAAAAUGUCGAACCUUCCUUCUGAAACUCGCGAAUAUGAGGUUGAAGACCUCGAAGCUUUCAUGGGUGAGGAAACCGAACCUCAUACCCAAACCGGAGAUGGGUUUGAUCUUCACCCUCAUAGUCAAUCGACUGUUGAUUCUCUUAAUGAUCUUCGUAGAUUAUGCCACA
rnacentral:lncRNA from 1 species